rnacentral:tRNA from 2 species
GGGUCGUUAGCUCAGUUGGUAGAGCAUCGGACUUUUAAUCCGCUGGUCGCUGGUUCGAAUCCAGCACGACCCACCA